UACGUAGGGGGCAAGCGUUGUCCGGAUUUACUGGGCGUAAAGAGCGUGUAGGCGGCCAAGUAGGUCCGUUGUGAAAACUGGAGGCUUAACCUCCAGACGUCGACGGAAACCGCGUGGCUAGAGUCCGGAAGAGGAGAGUGGAAUUCCUGGUGUAGCGGUGAAAUGCGCAGAUAUCAGGAAGAACACCAAUGGCGAAGGCAGCUCUCUGGGACGGUACUGACGCUGAGACGCGAAAGCGUGGGGAGCGAACAGG
rnacentral:rRNA from 1 species